rnacentral:misc_RNA from 1 species
AAUCCUCAACCAUGUCUUGAUCGAUUUUGAGACAUGGCUUGGACUUGGGAGGUUGCUGGUGGCGGAAACGCCGUCGGCUCUCCUGAAAUGCAUUAGCAAAGGACGGCGAGUCUCUUUCGACGUGCACGGCCUUCGACGUGAUAAUGAUCGUCGUGGCUGGAGCGUUCGGGGGGGACAUGCAUGAAUGUCGUCCAUCGCUUUCCCUACUAGCCUUUAGGUAGCUCAGCUACUAGUCGGUCGUGAGGCUGACGAACGUCGGGCAGCCAAGGCUGGUCUGUUUGGAAAC